rnacentral:rRNA from 1 species
GAUCAUGGCUCAGGACGAACGCUGGCGGCGUGCUUAACACAUGCAAGUCGAACGGAAAGGCCCUGCUUUUGUGGGGUGCUCGAGUGGCGAACGGGUGAGUAACACGUGAGUAACCUGCCCUUGACUUUGGGAUAACUUCAGGAAACUGGGGCUAAUACCGGAUAGGAGCUCCUGCUGCAUGGUGGGGGUUGGAAAGUUUCGGCGGUUGGGGAUGGACUCGCGGCUUAUCAGCUUGUUGGUGGGGUAGUGGCUUACCAAGG